rnacentral:rRNA from 1 species
GACGAACGCUGGCGGCGUGCUUAACACAUGCAAGUCGAACGGAAAGGCCCUGCUUUUGUGGGGUGCUCGAGUGGCGAACGGGUGAGUAACACGUGAGUAACCUGCCCUUGACUUUGGGAUAACUUCAGGAAACUGGGGCUAAUACCGGAUAGGAGCUCCUGCUGCAUGGUGGGGGUUGGAAAGUUUCGGCGGUUGGGUAUGGACUCGCGGCUUAUCAGCUUGUUGGUGGGGUAGUGGCUUACCAAGGCUUUGACGGGUAGCCGGCCUGAGAGGGUGACCGGCCACAUUGGGACUGAGAUACGGCACAGACUCAUAGGGGAGGCAGCAGUGGGGAAUAUUGCAAAAUGGGCGGAAGCCUUAUGCAGCAACGCCGCGUGCGGGAUGACGGCCUUCGGGUUGUACACCGCUUUCGCCUGUGACGAAGCGUGAGUGACGGUAAUGGGUAAAGAAGCACCGGCUAACUACGUG